CUAGUUGAUCCUGCCAGUAGUCAUAUGCUUGUCUUAAAGAUUAAGCCAUGCAUGUGUAAGUAUGAACAAAUUCAGACUGUGAAACUGCGAAUGGCUCAUUAAAUCAGUUAUAGUUUGUUUGAUGGUAUUUGCUACUUGGAUAACCAUAGUAAUUCUGAGCUAAUACGUAUAACAAACCUCGAAUUCUAGAAGGGAUGCAUCUAUUAGAUAAAAGGUUGACGCGGGCUUUACCCGUUGCUCUGAUGAUUCAUGAUAACUCGCCGGAUCGCACGACCUUUGUGUCGGCGACGCAUCAUUCAAGUUUGUGCCCUAUCAACUUUCGAUGGUAGGAUAGUGGCCUACUAUGGUGGUGACCGGUGACGGAGAAUUAGGGUUCGAUUUCGGAGAGGGAGCCUGAGAAAUGGCUACCACAUCCAAGGAAGGCAGCAGGCGGGUCGGCCCCUACUGCCGGUGAUGCGCUCUAAUAAACGCCAAAUUAUAUAUAUUUUUACCCCAAAUACUUAGCAUAUUUA
rfam:Gossypium hirsutum cultivar TM-1 chromosome 8, whole genome shotgun sequence